rnacentral:rRNA from 1 species
CCCUUAGAUGUCCUGGGCCGCACGCGUACUACAAUGAUACAUUCAAUAAGUUUCUGUUUUGAAAAAAACGGGUAAUCAUCAAAGUGUAUCGUGCUUGGGAUAGAUCUUUGCAAUUAUAGAUCUUGAACGAGGAAUUCCUAGUAAGUAUGAGUCAUCAUCUCAUGCUGAUUACGUCCCUGCCCUUUGUACACACCGCCCGUCACUCCUACCGAUUCGAGUGGUUCGACGAAUUCUUCGGACAUUGUCAUAAAAGACAGUGAAAGUUGUGUAAGUCAUAUCAUUUAGAGGAAGGAUAAGGCGUAACA